rnacentral:lncRNA from 1 species
GGAGAAGGCAGUGGAAGGGAAGCACAGUGAGCAGCUUUGGUAGUGGUAUGACUAUAUGAUGUGUGGAACUGUUGAAGCCAUCUUGUCACUAUGAGGUCACAACUUCAAGGAUGAGAGGCCCACACACUGUGGAUGCCCAAAUAGAAGGAUGAGAAAAGCCUGGGUUUUUGAUGGCAUUGCUGAGCUUCAGAACAAACCCUAGGCUCACCUAUCUCCAGCCUCUCAUCAAGGAAAACAACAAUUGUCUUUAUGGUUCAAAUCACUGGGCAAAGCAGUGGAGACCACCUGAGUGGGGGAACUGCAUUUAUUCAUAUACACAUUUUACAAACCUUUCUUGAGGAUGACUGAAAUUCUAAAUCACUUAGCUAAGAACCAUAAGGGGAGACAAAUUACCUUAUGCUCAUACGUGUCAUAUACGGAGCUUCCAUUGAGGAGGAGCAGGCGGGAAUUGAAACAGGAAAAAUUUCCACUUAUAGCAACACAUGCCCUAGGAGAUAUCACAAUUAAAUAUUGUGUUUCAUCAUAACUGAUUCUAAGCAGCUGAAGUGGACCCAAACGCCAAACCCCCACUGGACUCAACUAAAGACUCUUUCCUCAACAAUGAACGAUGGAUUUGUUUGAACCAACCAGGUACAGACCUUUAGAUUAAUUUCUGGAGUGCUGGUUUUCGAGCCUUAAUCAUUGUGAGCCCCUCUCCAAGAUUAAACAUCCCCGACUCUCCCUCCUCGGCUGACUAUUCAGUGAAUUUCUUCACUUGUGCGUGUUUCCUCGCCUGGCGAGUCAAUAAACGUGGCUUUGUGGCUUUUAUUUAUUUUAUAGCUCUGAUAGUCUUCGUCUUAUUAUUUUUCAGAAUAUAGACUGCAGGGGGUAUGAAGCACAUAAUGUGUAACCUCUGGUAGCAACACAUAAAAACUUCUGAACAUUAAGAACAACUAAAUGAAAAACAACCCAACCAAAACAACAAACCAAUAACAGCAGCAGUAAAAUACUAACAGCAAAUCUCACUCAUCGGACAGGGUCUUGCCCGUAAUAACUUCCCAGUGCGGGUCAUUUCUCUCCAGGAGUGGGUUUCAAGUGGACUAAGCCGAUUUCCACAGUGGUCCAAUCUAGAUCUGAAUAUUGCUUCUAGAUGCUUGUGUGGCCUCUAUGUUUGGUUUAACAUUCAAACUUCAGCAGACUGAUAAGGAGCUAAGACCAUAAUUUUAACAAGAAUUACUCACCUGUUACUUUUUAAUUUUUGUACUGCUGCAAAGUUUGGUUAGUUCGG